UCUCACUCCAACUUCUAAAGUUCUUUCAAUUGUUUACCUGGUAAGUAUUCUUGUGUGGUAUUGGCCCUCUUCCCUUAUGAAUUUUUACUCUUUUUUUUUUCAUUAUUGUGUUUAUGCUUCCUAUUAUUCUACUGAUUUUUCUUAUUUAUAGGUCUUCCACAAUUUUUCUUGAAUUCUUUUGAGUUCUUAUAGAUGCCUCUUGAAAUACAUGCAUAAUUUUGUUUUCAAUAUUUUGCAGUUUCUAACUCUAAAAUACUAAAAAUAUUAGUAGUAUUUUCUUAUCAAUAUAUGAUACUUUUUGCAGAUAAUUAAUGGCUUGAUGCGGUUGCAUGUUUGACGAAAUUUCCCGUGAAGGUAAGACUUGUGUGUUAUGAAGAGAGAUUAGUUACAAGAGUUGAUUGUUUUGGCAGAUGAUUCAAGGUGCUAAUGAAGUUGAACGGUGGGCUUAGGUGAAUAGACAUUUUCCCUUAUAAUAUCUUUUUUCCAUAUGGCAUCUUCCCCAAAAAAAAUUGAGAAAGAAUUUGAGUUGCCGAAUUCUUUGAUGCUGCCAUGAAAUUAGAAGUGAUAAUGUAAUGCUGAAAAUUCAGG
rnacentral:lncRNA from 1 species